AAUAGGCCAGGGCAGUGGAUGUAGAACCUUGGUUAGAUCUGUCUGGUUAGGGAGAAGAUGUGAACUGAGCCUUUCAAGGAGAUUCAUGAAGCUCUCAUUGGGCUAGACCUGGAGAAGAAAGUGGGAAAUCUGGUGCCUCACUGCGCACAAACAUGGUGGAGUGCCUACUGUUCUCCAUGCCAUAGGGUCUUUAUGAAGCAGAAACCAUGAAGUGUGAGAACACACUGGGAAUUGGAACUUGCUGAAGGUUGUCUAUGGCACCAGGGAGAGUCUGGACAUGGUAUCAAAGGUUCUGGUCAAUGUCUUUGACAAGAUGCUGGAAAUGGUGCCACCACUGUCAUAGGCUUGCUUUGGUAUGUAGGUGGCCUUGGGGAGAACUUGGCUCCCAUCUGGAUGGGACACAACUCAUCAUGCACCUUCUGAUUUAUGUGCCCUAUGGCACAAAAGUUUUCACUUUAACUCUAAAAUCCUACUUGAAAGAAAUGCUGUUCGACUAGCUUUGUUUACCAUAACUGGAUUGAAAAAUGCAGGAGACUCAGCCAAACUGUUGGGGUUAUGAAAGACAUUCUAUAUUGUCUGACUAAGAUGGACCCUCAGUGCAGGAAUCCUGUGGAAAAACAUCUAUGGAAGACUACCCUGGAAAGUGUCCCGAAGGAGCAAGCAGCUCGGUUUUCUCUACAUGAUUCCAAGGCUUGAGCUUUCAAGAGUAUAUUGCUCACCGAGAAGAAUCUCAAAUAAAAUGGGAACAAUUAUCCAAACAAUGGAUGUGUAAGUCCCAACAAAGAAAGACAAGGAAUAUGAAACAGCAAGGGAACACGACUCCAUCGUUCUUCAGUUGCCCGAUACCAAGGCACUGAAAUGGGCCAAAUGGCAGGUAAAGAGUGCAAGUUUUUAUUUGUAGUGAUGGUAGGGGAAGGAAGACAAAGCAUCCAGAACACGGAAGAAACUCAGCAACACAGAUGGGAAGCAGUUCCCCACUUUUCUCUAGCUGUUUGAAGCACUCUGACAAAAGCAACGUAAGGGAGAAAGGUUCAUUUUGCUCUUUAUUCAAGGAACAGUUCAUUAUGAUGGAGCAGUGAAGGCACCAGGAUUUUGAAGCAGCAGAUCACAUGGGAUCCACACCAGAGAGCACCAUAAGAAUGUGCUCAGUUGGCCUUCUCUCUUUUAUGUUCAGCCCAGGAUCCCGACCUGGAGAAUGGUGUCACCCACAAUUAAGAAAGAUCUUCACACAUGAAUUAAUAUAAUCAUGAAAAUCAGAAGCUUAUCUCCCAGGAGGUGUUUGUUUGUUUUUUUGCUUGCUUGUUGUUUUUGUCAAGUUGACAGCAUUAACCAUCACAGUAGAGAAAUGGAUGAGAAACUCAGGGAUAUGAAGGAAACUUAUCAUCAGUGUAGAUGAGAGAAACAAAUCAUCAAAAACAAAUACAUACUUGAGCAUAUAAAAAAGAUAGGGGCUGCUACAGUUAUAGUGAGAGAAUUUAAUAUUCACCAAUAGAGAGCUCAUCCAAACUAAGGGGCAGUAAAGAGAUUUCAGAGUUAAAUACUAACAUGCAAUUUUCUCUAAAAUAGAUCAUAUUUUAUAUAAAGAAAAUUGUAACAAACAAAUGUAUCAAUGUAAAUUCUUAUAUUUAAGCAGAAUGUGCUACAGGAAAACUAGAAAUCAACAGGAAGAGAAACUACAGAAAAUAUGCAAAUAUUUGAAUAUUGAAUAGUGCAAUUGUGCUGGUUAGGAUUUUAUUUUAUUUUUCAACUUGACACAAGCCAGAGUCAUCUGGGAAAAUGGAACUUCAAUUGAGAAGAAUGUGUCCAUCAAAUUAGCCUGUGAGGCAAGUUUGUGGAACAGUUGUUUGUGGAAAAAUUUAGGAAUUAACGAAAGAAAGAAUUGGGUCUUAAAACAUAGCAGUUUCAUCAGUCCUUUAGCAACACGGAUUAAAGCAAAUGCGGGAAGACCCAAAUGAGUAAAAGUCGAUUUGAAAAAGUAGCAAGUACAGCAAAUGCAAUGAAAUCCAAAAGAUUGUUAGACAAUAUUUUAUAGCUUAUAUCCCCCCCUCCCCCCCAAAAAAAACCAAAAACUUGGACAUAAUGGCACCCUUUCAGACACAUACAGUCUAUCAAGCUUAAAUAAAGAUGAAAUAGACAGCACAAACAAACCCACACUGAACAAAAUAGUCUCCAAACAAAGAAAAGGUAAGGACCAGAACAGUUACGUUCCAGCCUCAUGCUUCCAGACCUUUCAAAAUGAGCUAAUACCAGAUCUCCAAAAAAUGUUCCAUAGUCUAGAAGGAGUAAUAAUAGCAUGAAGUUAUUCUUUGAAAUCAACAUUGCACUGAUGCUGACUGGGUAAGGACAUGCAUGACAAAAAGAAAACAACCAAUUAAUUUCCCCACUUACAUCUUUUUAAUAAAAGUUCUCAAUAAAAUUCCUACGAACUAAAUUUAUCAACAGCUAAAAAAAACCUCACAAAACAACUAAGCCAAUAUACACAUAAAUCAAUGAAUCUAAUUAUAAAAUGCAGCAACCAAGAUAAAGAACACAUGUUCUGCUCAAUUAAUUCAAACAAGGCUACAGACAUGAUCAUCAUCAUUUUAUAAUAAACCCCUUUUAGGAAUUAAAAAGGAACAUGCUUUAAUCCCAGCAC